rnacentral:tRNA from 1 species
UUCCUGGCAGUCCAGUGGUUAGGACUCUGCACUUUCACUGCCGAGGGUUCUGGUUCAAUUCUGGUUCAGGAAC